UAUUUAUGUUUUGAAUUUUCUUUUGUGGAAGGUUUUUACUACAAAUUCCACUUACUUAGUAGAAUUAAGAUUAUUCAAGUUAUCUAAUUUUUUACUGAGUAAUUCUGGUCUCAUUAUGUCUUUCAAGGGAAUUUUUUUCAUUUUUUAAUAUCAUUUUAUAGCUUUAUAUUAAAAGUUCUGAAUAUGAGUGGCUCUCUGCCUGCUCCCUUUCACCACCUUAAUAUCUUAAGUGAAUAAUGCAUUCUCAUCAAGAGGGUUAAAACUAAUCAUCAGCUGAUGGCAGUUCACUUUUUGAAUUACAAAAAACUUUCCCCCUCAGGCCAUUUAUUUUACUCAUAAGCAACCUAACUAUAUUAUAGAUUCUAAAAUAUUAUCUCCAAAGCCCCUAGAAGAUGCAUACAUUUAGUCCAAAAGGUUUAAUAACUCCCCAAGCUGAUAUUUCCCUUUCUCCUUUGAUAUUUCCAUAAUUUGGAGUGCCCAUUGUCUGUUUUAUUUCAUAUUGGGACAAGCUGAACAGGGACUAAGGUGAAGGCAGAGAGGCAUUCAGGGCAAAUCGUUUAAGGAGGUACUACAAAUACAAGGUCAACACUUGCAGGAAACUAAGAAAGAGUGUCUCCUUAAAAUUUGUGUCCUAGGUGUCUUAUCUAGUUCUGGCCUUUUUAAUGUGAAUUCUUUUUUUUUUUUUUUUUGAGAUGAAGUCUGGCUCUGUCACCCAGGCUAGAGUGCACUGGUGCGAUCUCGCCUGACUGCAACCUCCACCUCCUGGGUUCAAGGGAUUCUCCUGCCUCAGCCUCCCAAGUAGCUGGGAUUACAGGCAUGCACCACCACACCUGGCUAAUUUUUGUAUUUUUAGUGGAGACAGGGUUUCACCAUGUUGGCCAGGCUGGUCUUGAACUCCUGACCUGAGGUGAUCCACCCACCUCGGCCUCCCAAAGUGCUGUGAUUACAGGCAUCAACCACUGCACCCAGCUUGAAUUCUUUGUGUCCUCUAAAAACUCAAAAUUAUUUUUUAGUAUUUUACCAGAAACAUGGGAGGCAUCAAUUUAAAAGGAAUGCACAGAAGACACUUCAUCACUACUUCCAACCAAGCAGUAAUGGGCUGGAGAUCCUAGAUUAAGCUACUGGCAGAUCUGGUGUCUGGCGAGGGCUCUGCUCCUGGUUUGCAGAUGGGUGUCCUCUCAUUAUGCCCUCGCAUGGUUGAGAGAAAAAUCAUCGUUCUUCUGUUUCUUCUUAGAAGGGCACUAAUUUUAUUCAUGAGCUCCAUCCUCAUGACCUAAUCACAGCCUAAAGGCCUCACCUCCUAAUACUAUUAUAUUGGGGGUUUAGAUUGCAACGUAUGUAUUUGGGGGGGUCGGCACAAACAUUCAGCUCAUAACAUCUUGUGAAUCACUUUUAAUUGCAAUGUUGGAACAUUGCUUUAAAAUGAUGCAGGUCUUAUUUCCAUAUAUGCAUUAGGCAGUUCUUGCAUUGCUAUAAAGAAAUACAGGAAACUGGGUAAUUUAUAAAUAAAAGAGGUUUAAUUGGCUCACAGUUCUGUAGGCUUUACAGGAAGCAUGGUGGUGCUCAGAUCUGCUUGGCAUCUAGGGAGGCCUCAGGAAGCUUCCAUUCAUGGCAGAAGGUGAAGACAGAGUAGGUAUGUCGUGUAGUAAAAGCAGGAAUACGCAAGAGACAGAGUGGGGGGCGGUGCCAAACACUUUUAAAUGACCACAUCUCAUAUGAAUUCAGGGCAAGAGCUCACUUAAUCACCAAGGGGUUGGCCCAAACCAUUCAUGAGGGAUCUGCCCCCAUUAUCCAAAUCCCUCUGCCAGUCUCCAACAUUAGGAGUUACACUUCAACACGAGAUUUGAGUGGGGACAAAUAUCCAAACUAUAUUAAGAAGAAACGCAGCAGUUCCCAAUUUUGUCUCUCAUCACCCUCCCACACACCAAAUCAUAUAUGUGAGGAGUACUUUUAUAUGCACAACUUGCCCUAUUUAGAACUGUUCUGGAAUGAGUGCAUUUCCC
rnacentral:lncRNA from 10 species